UGAAGUUGGAAUCGCUAGUAAUGGCGCAUCAGCUACGGCGCCGUGAAUACGUUCCCAGGCCUUGUACACACCGCCCGUCACGUUAUGGAAGCCGGUUUUGCCCGAAGUAUGUUAGCUAACCCGCAAGGGAGGCGAUGUCCUAAGGUGAGGCUGGUAACUGGAACGAAGUCGAAACAAGGUAGCCGUAGGGGAACCUGCGGCUGG
rnacentral:rRNA from 1 species